GGGGAUGUAGCUCAGUGGUACAGUGCUUGCCUAGCAUUCAUGAGGCUCUGGGUUCAAUCCCCAAUACCACCA
rnacentral:tRNA from 1 species